rnacentral:lncRNA from 1 species
GCGCAGCCCAGCGCGGGGCGGCCCUCUCCCGGGGCACCCGGAGGGUGGGGUCCCGAGCUGGGCGAGGCUUCCUGCGGGCACCCGCGCGCUGCGACUCCGCGCCUAGGCUCUGCAGCUUCUCUCCCCCCCCCCACUCCUGUGCCAACCCAGAAACGAAAAGACGACCCAGAAGAAAAGAAGAGGAAACAUCUUCUGUAGGGACCGUCUCGGGGAGGGCAGUGGCUGCGGCAGUUCUGGUGUGAAAUCCUGUUAGUGUACAGCCAUUUAUCACCCAAGCCCAGGACAGGCUACCUAGGGUGGAGUACUGGGAUUAUACCUGGAGGUUUGGGCGGUGGGGGUUCUUGUUUUUGUUUGUUCUUACUUGUUUGCUUGUUAGCCUGAAGGUGCCCUUACACACCUUCUAAACUUCACCUUAUGAAGAAACUAAAUCCAGUUAAUUUGUCCAAGGUCAUAGAGCCUAGUUGGAGAUUGAUUGCGUUUUUUCAUACCAAAUCAAAGCUGCGGCAGAUUUUAUUUUUAUUUUUGUUCAUGUGAAAAGAUGUGUUCUAAUAUGUAAUCCUAUGUGUACGGCACAGCAAGAGAUUAAUUAAAAACCUUUGGAGACAGUUGAUGGUUGCUAGGAGGGAAAUGGGGAGUGAAUGAUAAUAGGUGGGCUUUUCUUUCUUGGAGUGAAAACAGCAUUCUGAAGUUUGAUGGUAGUGGUCGAUGCACAGUCCUGACUAUUCUAAAAACCACUGAAUUGUACAUUUUAAAUUGGUGAACUUGAU